UUUAAAAUACCUUGAAGCUUUAUAUGUGGGAAACAAUAACAGUUAUAUUAAUCGCAGUAAUGCACUGCAACAAAACAUUGUAAUCAUAUUUUGGCAUAAGUAGUUUGACUAUUGUAUUGACUUUCCUAGCAUAACACAGAUUUAAAAUGAACGUCAAGGCAAGUCUGUUGUAAUUAAGUCAACACUGACUACAUUGUUGACUUGGAGCAAUGUUCCAAUCCAAACUGGGGAUUUAAUGCCUUGGGCAAAAGGAAACAGGCCUUGAUAGGAAAAUGAACCAUUUCGUCACAAUUACUGAUGCCAACAAGCAACCACACCUAUUAAACUCCUUUCCUGCCAGUUUAGAGACAAGGGAGAACGUCUCUUGAUGAUGAAGCUAAUGGAUUCAAUUCCAUCAGUCAACAUAUUUUUGGCAUUCCAAGAGGAUAACAUCAGUCUUACAUUGAAAGGAAACAUAUUGAUAUAUGUUCUUAUUCGUUAUAUGUUUUUAUAUCUAUUGGAGACAUCAUAAUGAAUGAGGGUCAGGACCACUCAAUAUAUCCAAUAAGCAAAUAAACUGAGGCCAUAGCUGUACUAAGGAGAUAAUUCAUAUUUUGGUGUAUCUGCAAUUGCC